rnacentral:rRNA from 1 species
AGCGAACGCUAGCGGCGAGCUUAACACAUGCAAGUCGAGCGGAGGGUUUCGGCCCUCAGCGGCGGACGGGUGAGUAACACGUAGGUUACGUGCCCCUUUGGUGGGGAAUAACUUAGGGAAACCUGAGCUAAUACCGCAUAUGCCCUCGGGUGAAGUACUUCGGACGCCAGAGGAUCGGCCUGCGGCCCAUUAUUUAAUCCUUGUUGGUGGGGUAACGGCCUACCAAGGGUACGAUGGGUAGCUGGUCUGAGAGGAUGAUCAGCCACACUGGGACUGAGACACGGCCCAGACUCCUACGGGAGGCAGCAGUGGGGAAUAUUGGACAAUGGGGGAAACCCUGAUCCAGCUACGCCGCGUGGGGUGAUGAAGGCCUUCGGGUUGUAAGACCCUGUCGAGGGGGACGAAGGUUCUGACGGUACCCCGUCAAGAAA